AAAGCGUGCGCAGGCGGUUUUGUAAGACUGUCGUGAAAUCCCCGGGCUCAACCUGGGAAUGGCGAUGGUGACUGCAAGGCUAGAGUUUGGCAGAGGGGGAUGGAAUUCCGCGUGUAGCAGUGAAAUGCGUAGAUAUGCGGAGGAACACCGAUGGCGAAGGCAAUCCCCUGGGCCUGUACUGACGCUCAUGCACGAAAGCGUGGGGAGCAAACAGGAUUAGAUACCCUAGU
rnacentral:rRNA from 1 species